GCGGAAAUAGCUCAGUUGGUAGAGCAUAACCUUGCCAAGGUCAGGGUCGCGAGUUCGAGUCUCGUUUUCCGCU
rnacentral:tRNA from 1 species